rnacentral:rRNA from 1 species
GAUGAACGCUGGCGGCGUGCCUAAUACAUGCAAGUCGAACGAACAGACGAGGAGCUUGCUCCUCUGACGUUAGCGGCGGACGGGUGAGUAACACAGGGAUAAACUACCUAUAAGACUGGGAUAACUUCGUGAAACCGGAGCUAAUACCGGAUAAUAUAUUGAACCGCAUGGUUCCAUAGUGAAAGACGGUUUUGCGGUCACUUAUAGCUGACUCCGGGCCGCAUUAGUUAGUGGGUAAGGUAAAGGCUUACCAAGGCGACGAUGGGGAUCCGACCUGAGAGGGUGACCGGCCACACGGGAACUGAGACACGUCCCAGACUCCUACGGGAGGAAGCAGUAGGGAAUCUUGCGCAAUGGGGGAAAGCCUGAUGGAGCAACGCCGCGUGAGUGAUGAAGGUCUUCGGAUGUUAAAACGCUGUUAUUCGGAACGAACAAAUUUUUAAUUAACUAUGCACGUCUUGACGGUACCUUAACAGAAAGCCACGGCUAACUACGUG